ensembl:snRNA U6 U6 spliceosomal RNA
UGCUGGCUUUGGCAGCACUAAAAUUGGAACGAUACAGAGAAGAUUAGCGUGGCCCCUGUGAAAGGAAGACACGCAAAUUCGUGAAGCAUUCCAUAUUUAA